UAACCAUGUUGGGGGCAGCGACGUAGUAAAUCCUUGAACCGCUCCCAAGACUCAUAGAAUGGUUCAAAUUCAAGUUGUCUGAAAUGAUCUAUAUCACUUCUUAAUUG